rnacentral:misc_RNA from 1 species
GAGAAGAACGUAGUGAAAUGCGAUACGUUGUGUGAAUUGCAGAAUUCAGUGAAUCAUCGAAUCUUUGAACGCACAUUGCACCUCUCGGUAUUCCGGGAGGUAUGCCUGUUCGAGCGUCAUUUGUACCCUCAAGCUCUGCUUGGUGUUGGGUGUUUGUUCCGCCUCUGUGUGUGAACUCGCCUCAAAACAAUUGGCAGCCGGCGUACUUGUUUCGGAGCGCAGCACAUUUUGCGAUCCAGAUCAACGUACAGCGGCAUCCAAGAAGCCUUAUUUAACGCUCUUGACCUCGGAUCAGGUAGGGAUACCCGCUGAACUUAAGCAUAUCAAUAAGCGGAGGA